rnacentral:rRNA from 1 species
GGCGAACGCUGGCGGCGUGCCUAAUACAUGCAAGUUGAGCGCUGAAGGUUGGUACUUGUCCCGACUGGAUGAGCAGCGAACGGGUGAGUAACGCGUGGGGAAUCUGCCUUUGAGCGGGGGACAACAUUUGGAAACGAAUGCUAAUACCGCAUAAAAACUUUAAACACAAGUUUUAAGUUUGAAAGAUGCAAUUGCAUCACUCAAAGAUGAUCCCGCGUUGUAUUAGCUAGUUGGUGAGGUAAAGGCUCACCAAGGCGAUGAUACAUAGCCGACCUGAGAGGGUGAUCGGCCACAUUGGGACUGAGACACGGCCCAAACUCCUACGGGAGGCAGCAGUAGGGAAUCUUCGGCAAUGGACGAAAGUCUGACCGAGCAACGCCGCGUGAGUGAAGAAGGUUUUCGGAUCGUAAAACUCUGUUGGUAGAGAAGAACGUUGGUGAGAGUGGAAAGCUCAUCAAGUGACGGUAACUACCCAGAAAGGGACGGCUAACUACGUG